rnacentral:lncRNA from 1 species
AUAAUAAUAAUUGUCGAUUUGUAAUGCGCAGGUAUCCAUUCGGAAGAAUGCUCAUUGCGCAAUGCAAGGUAUUGUCACUCAGCAUCAACAGUCCUUGUCUGCCCCAGUCCACCAUCGUGUUUUGAAUUCACCCACAACCAACCUCCUCACCCAGCCCAUCCCCCACCUGUUUAUACCCACCUGUCUGCUGCACCGCCGCUAACCCCUAGAGUGCACGUCAGUCAUCUGGUGUCCUUGCUGACCCGCGCGGCACGUGCUGGCUGUCGUCGUGGUGUAGGUGACGAGCACUGACGACAGGACCGAUACUCGCCGUGCUGACGGUAGGGGGCUGGGGUGGGUUGGGGUUAGCACACCAUGUGACAGCUCGUGCACUGGAGGGAGACCACGCGAGGUGUUCACAGGGGAACUGUUACAUCGCCUGCUCUAAUCUGUAACAUCUCCACCUCCAUAACCCCUCCCCCCCCGCCACCUGCAUCUGCACGUCUGUCGGAGGGUGUGUCCGCACGUGAGCAAACAACGAGCUGCGCAUGCGUGUGUUUGGUGUGUGUGUGAGAGAGAGAGAAAGAGAGGUUACAGAAGGUUCAGAUGCCAGUGUUGAUAUCAAGGUGUGACACAUAGGACAUGACAAUAACACCGACCAACUUUAUUUGUCCCAGUGGCCAAUGUGAAGACGGGGAGGUGCUCUGGUCACAGCAGUAACAGUUAGAAACAAACACAGAAAUCAAGUUCCUUGUAAGGUGCCGCGUUAACAGAUGUCAACAGUGAAAAAUCUGAGCAAAUAAAAGAUAAAAGUGAUGGGCAAGUGACAAUCGUGAUCUACACACCAAGCAAAUAGUUUACCUGUGUGUGAGAGAUUAUGAUAUAAAGGUUUGCCGUGGUGUCUAGAACAGGUGGACCACUCACAGGUGACGGCCCCUAGUGCCGUGUGCAGCUCUCUUGCUGUGUACAAGAUGCUGAUUGUGAGGCUGUACCACAGUGUCAUGUCUGUCAUGUCUGUCAUGUCUGUCAUCGUGUCCCCGGGGGACUGGCGCUGGUCUCAUCACACUGUGUUGUUGUGAUUCCACUCUUGAUAUCAGUGUCUACAGUGUGGACCCCAGGGGUCACCAAUCACCAGUUGGUCGUCUUGAUGGAGUUGGUGCCUCAGUCCUUCACUGUGGUCACUUCUGGUGAAAAGGCCUCAGAACAUUUCUCCCGAUGAUGAUGUUACUGGCAAUGUCCUGCUCGGCGACAUCCUCACUUGUUCUCACUCACCUCGCAUUGAAUGGCGGGCGGCAAACAAAAACUGACUGAAGUUCUGUUGGUGGGCGCGACAGUCCUGGUCCAUUGACGGUCGUCACCGGGCUGUGGGAGGUCAGCCAGUGCAGCUCGUGCAAAGUUGCAGGGACAGUGACUGGCCAGUCAUCCGGGGACUUUGUCAUGUACUUUAUUGUAUUCACACCUGUCAUCGCUUUGAUUCUUUCCCCAUUUCCUUUCAGUUAUCUGCUCUCUUUCAAAGGAAAGAAAAAUCAGGUGAGAGUGCGGCGCCUGGCGGUGGCUUUUGAUGUGAGACGUGCCGCACGUGAGGAGGAACAAAGCUCGCGCUGACCUGCUCCUCGCUCUUUGUGCUGCAUCUUCAGUCAUCCCCUGGAUGAAAAAAACCCACAGCCUUUAAUUGGGGAGCAGUCAUGUGAUCUUGCGAUCUGUGGAGAAAUGAGGAGAGAGUGCGAUAAGCACAGUGCGUACAGGUUAUCUCCCUUUAGUCGCGGAGGGCGCUGCAGUCGUCAGGAGAACCUGUGUGGUGGCGGUGCACAGCAUCGUCUGUCAGCCCUCCACGGUUUUCAUUCGUCUCACCUGGAUUCCAACAGGUGAGGACGGAGGGCGAUUGCCAGGGAAGUCCUAUGGUAUUUACAGGAGAUUCCGUGAGCUCAGUGAGGGAGAGCGGCUAAAAAUAGACGACGGUGAGCAAACGAGACAAGGAUGUCGACACCCGAGGUGGGUGGCCUGGCGCCCGUAAGGGAGGUCAGUGGCUUGGCGACAAAUGGUUUUCCUGCGCGCGCAUCUCUUCCUGAAUCCUGUCCCAUCAUUCCUCAGUGUGGCAGCCAGAGCUUGUGGGGAGUGCCCGGAAGUGACGUCGACAGCCAAGAGGAGAGCAGCAUGAUGAGCAGUGACGUGUGCACUGGCUGUGACGCUUAUGCGAACAGCGACGAAGAAUAUCGCCGCGUGCGCCGGAGGGAGCAGAACAGAAGAGCCGCUCAGAGAUGCAGGGCCAGACGCAAGCUGAAGGAAGUCGCCAUCACACAGGAAACGGAACAGGAGCUAGCGCGCAUGCGCUGUCUGGAGCUGGAGGCAUGCCGACUGCUGUCACAGAAUCAGGCGCUGAGACACGCGCUCAGCCAGCACGUGCUGUGGGUGCCAGGGGGAGACCACUCUCAGCGCUCAGCAAGGAGGAGUCAGCCGGUGGCUCCAGGCGUUGACGCGUUUCUCCAGACACUGGCGGCGGACAAUCACCGUGGUGGAGACCAACAGCAGUGACCUUCCAGCACUUGCCACAGGGACAAUCGCUAAACAUCUUCACAGACACGUCAGCAGAGGUGGCCACGUGUCACUCGUCCUGUUACACGCACACACGUGGUCUGGUGUUGUCACCAACUCACCUGAGCGCAAAGUUAAUCAGUCAAUGAGUUGAGUUCAGCAGCAGAUGCCGAGCUGUCCACGUCUGAGGGACAACUGAGACCAAGAGACCGGACCUUGUGACACAGCACACCUUGUCGCCAUGUCCCCUGCUGUUCUGUUUGUUAUGUCAGGUAUCAGUGGAAUAUUAAUGUUUGUGGUUACAUACAGUGUUGUCAGACGCCAUGUUUACUUUGUAUGAAUGUUGUUGUUGUUGUUGUUUACUGCUGUGUACCACCGACACCGGCACCACUCAGUGCCAGACACUGCACGUGAUUCUCUCCACUGCUGUAGGAGGAAAUGAUACUGGGAAACUUGCCUUGUCACUGGCGCCAUGUACUCAUGCUACGUCAUGCUACGUCAUGUCACGUCAUGCUGCGUUAUGCUACAUCAUGCCACGUCACGUCUGCCCGCUUUUGUGCGUUACCCACGUGCGUUGCUCGAAUGGAUAGCCACUCAGGCUCACCACGACAGAACGAAGUCGUCUCAUCAAAAACAAUGACACCCGUGACAUAACUACACACAUGUGACGUAACUACACACCUGUGACGUAACUACACACCUGUGACGUAACUACACACCUGUGAGGACAGACGAGGCGCAGCUGCUGACAAUCGUAAACAUGAAAACAAUUGUUGUUGACUGCAGGCAGUUGGUGAUUACAGUCUGUA